rnacentral:rRNA from 1 species
UACGGGAGGCAGCAGUAGGGAAUCUUUCACAAUGGGCGAAAGCCUGAUGGAGCAACGCCGCGUGCAGGAUGACGGCCUUCGGGUUGUAAACUGCUUUUAUAAGUGAGGAAUAUGACGGUAACUUAUGAAUAAGGAUCGGCUAACUACGUGCCAGCAGCCGCGGUAAU